GUGUCCGAUUUUCCCAAAAUAGUCGGCGAUUAUUUUGGCUCCAAAUGUGUUUAUUACUUCUGUUAAAAAUGCCACAGUUUGUAAAUAUACUAUCAUCGGUCCAUAUGACAUUCUUAAGAAAAUUGGGGUGAGUUGUGGCAAUGGGUGAUCGCAGUAAUUUUUUUCGCUACCCAGAUACAAAAAACCACACGUUUUUUAGAAUCGACAGGAUGCAGUUUUUACGCUAAAUGAAUUUUAAAUUGGUUAAAUCAAUUUUUUCUAAGUUGGCUCCCACACUUGUAUGAGAGGAAUAAUAAUAUUUUGGGAAACUUGCCGUGUACAUACUCUCCCUUGGUUCAUAUUUAUCUAUAAAGUAUACUUUUAUGUAGCGCAAUAAGUACAAAAAUCUCAAAAUACCUGUUACUUUGUAUUACAAUACUAACAAAACAUACAAAUAUUUAAAACUUAUGAUCUUUAUGACAGUUUAAAUAUUGUCUUAUCAGUUUAUCACAGCCUACUGCGGAAAAUUUAGUUUUUCUAAAAAUUCGGGUUUUUAAAAACAAUAAAUAUUACAUGUGAUACAUCGAUGAAAAGUAAUUUUGCAGAGAUUUUCAAAAUUCAAUAGGGCGCCCACAAUAAAAAACAAAGUUGAUGAUGGUUGGGAAAAGACGAAACGUCGUAUUAAAAAAACUAAAAACAUCAUUAUGUAGCGCAAAAAAAUUAGCAAUGCAAAAGCGUAAAUUAUUGUAAAAUCGGAUAAGAAAUAAACACGUUUUAUUUUAUCGCGCAUUUUUCAAAAUUUCGAAUAUCUUCGGAAUUUUUAAAUUUUUUAACGCCAUAUUGUUAAGCUCAAAAAUUAUCAACUUUGCCCCAAUUUAACCAUCUUCGUAUCUCUUAUAGGUUCCAAGAUAUUGAGGGUCGAAUUAGGUCGAAUUCCAAUAUAACAGCAAGAGGUAAACAAAGAUUAUUUAAAAGAUUACCUGCAGACAUUAAGAAAAUAAAUAAAGAUUUUAUUUAUUUUGUUAAUGUUUAAUAAUGUUUAAUAUAAUCUUUAUUUAUUUUCUUAAUGUCUGCAACUAUUUAUUUAAUAUAAUGCAACUUUUUCAUAUGACCCAUGUGAAUACAUUGAUGAUUAAACCACAACUACUUUAAGUAUUUUGCUUGCAUGUGAUCUGAUCAUUUUAAAAUUGAACUAUAAAAAGUAUAAACUUUUUCUAAUUCUACUCAUUUGUAAAUCGUUAUUUAGAAAUUUAGGCAAUUUUUUUUUUAAACAUGUUUUGUAUGUACCUACAUACACAGUGUGUCUACUUAAGUUGGCAACAUAUGGAAAACUUUACUAUUAGUUUUAGGAAAACAAGUUAUUCUUUGUAAAAAGUUCUGCAAACCUAAAAUGCAGUAAUUAAAUAUCAAAUUUUAUUAGUCGUAUACCAGGUUUGUCAUUAUUUCGGUUAUGACUAGAAGAGUAUUGACAAUUUUUGAUGAUAGAACAAUUACCCGUAUUGAAAAAGAAGGCGGAUGUAUUGAGGCAUUAGCAAAUUGAAGGAGCUAAUAAUAUUUGUUAAAAUUACAAAAAUUAAUUAUAAUGAUAUUAUUCAUUUAAAAGUAUCUCCAAAGUGUUACAAGACAGACAAGCAAUUAAAAGGCUAUUAGUGGUCAAUAAAAAUGAAGAGAUUACCUACUUCUUAUUAUAAAUUACUGUUUCUGAACGGAAAGGUCAUCAUGUUUGUAGUAAAUAAAAAAUACAAAUGUUCGGUAUCUCAAGGUAAUUUGAGCAAAAUUUGUAAAAAAUAUGUUUUUAAAUACCAGAAUGGACUGCAUAUUUGAACACCGUUUUUAGUUCUAACCAACUUCUUUUUAUAAGAAUUUUCGGUAUUAUCAAAAAUAAAGGUACUUUGCUUUUAAGCAAAAUUUACAUUUUUUGACAAAUCUGGUAUACGAUUAAUAAAAUUUAAUAUUUGUAUAUUGCAUUUUAGAUUUUGGACUAUGAAGAACUUUUUAUAAAAAAAACUUUUUUCCUAAAAUUAAUUAUAAAAAAGUUUCCCAUAUGUUGCCAACUUAAGUAGACCCUUAGGGAACCGCCCUUAGUAACUUAACCUUAACUCUCUUAACAAAAAAUUUAUAUAUGCAGGAGAAAGUUUAAUUUUGCAUUUAAGUUCUGAUAAUCAUUAUAACCAACCUCACUCUGGAUAUAUAUUAAAUAAUACCCCAAUCAUGUGAGACAUCAUUGUAAGUAGCACAAAAUUAUCUAUUUAACCGUACCAAUAAAAAAUAACUCAGUUGACAUACAGGUGAUUUGUAGCCAAUGUGUGGUAAUAAUAGAUAUUUUAUAGACCUUAAAUUUUGCCAAAGGGUUACCCCAUAGUGCCACACGUCAUUUUAAACGGCCUGCAAUUUUUCAUCUUAGUUGCACAAUUAAAAAUGUAUAGUUUUAUAAAUAUUCACUAAUUCUUAAUUUUUUGUGCAAUGACUGAUAAUAAACAUUUAAAGGGUGACAAUUUAAAAACUUGAAAUUACCCUACAGGGUGAUUGAUGAUACCUUAGACGUUAACGAAAACGGAAAAUAGAUUUUUUUUUGAAAAAUUGGCAUCAUGGGUCGACGAAUCUAACGAUUAAAAAGCGAGCCGCUUAUACCAAAAAGUAGUAGCAACUUUGUUAUUUUCAAUGGAAUACCCUGUAUAUUAUUUUAUUUUCUGAUUCGCUAUCGCUUUAUGAUUGUUUUUGUAUAAGGUGUGCCUAUACCUAUUUUUAGUGGUUUUCGAAAAAUUAUUUUCUUUAUUUUUGGACCAAAACAUAGCUCCAAAUACAUUUUUAUUACUACGGCACUGGAACGCGCAGAAAAUUGAAAUUAUGAGCGUAAUUUACGGAAGAUGGUACAUUAGUCUUUACUAUAACAUUUUGUUCAACAUUAUACAGGGUUGGUCAAAAUUAGUGAUUUUACCUCUAGAUACAAAAAUUGUGAAAAAUGCAGUUUUUUAAAUGGAACACCCUAUAUAACAAAUUUUUAUAGUGAAAACUAAUGUACAAUACUUCCGUAAAUUACGUUUAUAAUUUCAAUUUUCUGCGCGUUCCAGUGCCGUAGUAAUAAAAAUGUAUUUGGAGAUAUGUUUUGGUCCAAAAAUAAAGAAAAUAAUUUCUCGAAAACCAUUAAAGAUAGGUAUAGGAACAAGUUAUACAAAAACAAUCACAAAACCCUGACAACAGUUUAUGACCUCACCUGUAUCUGCAACCUCUUGGACAGGGUGAGAUACACUCCUAAAAUCCUAAAUAAGUCUUGAAGCUCUUGAAAAAUGCUUUUUAAAGAUACCAUAAAAAUCCACAUUUCAGAAAAUUCUUGUUUGUUUAUCAACGAAAACAAUAAAUGAAAUAGUUAUUUAUGUAACAAGUAUGUAAAAUGAUUUUUUUUUAUGAAUCUGAAAUUUGUCAAUUCCCAUGAAUAAAAAAAGUAGGUUUUACACACGUGUAACAUACAAAAUUUUUUCUACUACCGAAGAAAAUAUUAAAAGAAUCAAAAAUAGCAAAUUAUUUUACGCACUAGUGAGUAAAAAAAAAUACUUUACCCACUAGUGUGUAAAAAACGUCAAAAACAUUUUUGACAAAUUAUAAAUUAAAUGUCAAAUAAACGUCAAAUUACUUUUUAUGCAUUAGUGCGCAAAAAGUGAAAAUUUAUAAACCCUGGGAAGUGUGUAAAGUGAGUACUUUACCCACGGUAGUAUAGAAAAACACAUUUUUGAAUUUUUUUAUUAUUAUUUAAUUAAAUGUUAAAAAUGAUAGCUACCGAUAUACUGGCAUUUCUUUUAAGAACUCUAAACAUGUCAAGCCUCUAGGUAUUUUGUAUUAGUUUUAAGUAUUAAGUAAUUUUUUGUAUUAAGUUUAAAAAAAAGUGUUGUUUAUAAAUAUUCGCAUUUUAUUACUAUAUAAUUUUCUUUCAAAGUAUUGUACUAGUGUUAUUAUUUUAAGAACAGUUGACUUUCAUGUCAGUUUAAACGAAAAGCAGCACUUCCUAUCUUUAACAAUGGUGUACAGCAUAGCUAAAUGUGUAGACAGCUCAACGUUUUAACGGAAGGCAUUCAAGUCAAAAUGUAAGAGGAGUAUGUUUGCCAACUUGUAGCAAAUUUAAAGAAAUUGGUUGUGUCACGAAUAAAAAGAGAAAUAAACCGAGAUUAGUCGACGAAACAGCGCAAAUUGAAAUUCUGGGUCAGUUUGCAAUGAAUUCAACUUCAUCAACUCUUCAACCAGCUGUAGCAACUGGAAUAUCUCUUGAAUCGAUAAGAAAGGUACUUACAUUUCAUAAGUUUUAUCGCUAUAAACUGCAAAUACUGGAAGAGCUUAGUAAUGACGAUCCGGAUAGAAGCAUCCAGUUUUGUGAAAUAAUGAUAGGUAGAAUUAAGGCAGAACCUUGACUAUAAUAGUUCAAAAAUAUUUACUUCAGUGAUGAGUGUACCUUUUAUUUUAAUGGGGACAUUAAUAAGCAAAACUAUCGUUACUGGGCUGACGAGAACCUACAUGUAUUUAGAGAAGGUCAUACCAAGUACCCCCGAAAAUUGAUGUUUGGGCUGGUAUAUUGGGAGAUGGUCUUAUUGUCCCAAUAUUUAUACCAGGAAAUUUAAAUAGCGACAUGUAUGCUGAAAUGCUACAGAAGUCUACCGAACCACCAAUAGUGUGGGAGUUACAAAACCAGAGGGACAUACACAGAAAUGUAUCUUUCGAAUAACGCUUACUACAACUGAUGAAGCACCUUCUCAUUACGUAGCUCCCGUUAGGCAAUGAUUGGAUGAUCAUUAUCCUAACCAGUGGAUUGGAAGAAGAAGUCCUAUUGAACGGCCACAUAGAUCCCCAGCCCUAAUACCUCUUGACGUCUUUUUGUGAGGUCACCUAAAAUCUGUGGUUUUUAAAACGCAACCUGGGUCACUAGUGUCAUGUUAUAUCCAGAGAAACAUUUGAAGGACGUGUACGUGAAGAAUUUGACAGUUUUAUUAUUGUCUUUAAAAUCACGGAAAUAAUUUACAACAUUUAAUUAAACAAUAAUGAAAAUGUCAAAAUAAUGUUAUUUAUAAUUUGUCUUGAUAAACAGAAGAAUUUUCUGAAAUGCGGCAUUCAUCGGAAAGCAUUUUUCAAGAACUUCAAGAUGAUGUAUCACUCGACCCCUCUUUCUAUUUAAAAUUUUAGGGAUGUAUUGUCCUGUCCAAGGGGUUGCAGAUAUGAGUGAGAUAAUAUGGUUGUUCUUGUUUCCCCUUUGUGUUAUAGAAACUUUUUACCGUUUUUUUAUUCAAUUUUUUGUUCCUAAUAUAUGGCCAUUUCAAGUUUUUAAAUUGUCAUUCUGUAUGCAAUACAAAUAGAUCACGCCCUAUUAUAGCAUAAGCAUGGUAGAACUGCGUGUUCAAUAUAUUAAUUUGUCAUGAUAAAAUUCCGGCAUAUUGUCAUAUAUUAUUGUAAAUAAUAUGUAAUAAUCUAUAGCUAUGUAAUAAAGACCAAUACAUAGAUAGUAACUUUGUAAUAAAAAAUCUAAAUUGUGUUUAUAAUAAGAUACCUAUAAUAAGGAUGCAAUUGAAAGUUCGAAUUUUCAAAGGUCACUCUAUUUAAUGAAGGUUAAUUUUAAUAGGUAAAAAUGAAAUUCGAUAAGGAAAAAAACAUCAGAACAUAAUUUCUAUAAACAAAUCAAAAUACUUAAACUUUUUUAGCUCCAGCUUUCUUUGUUACACCAGUCUGUAUAACAUCAUAAAAUAUCUAAAAUAUAAACAAGUACUAAAGUAGUAUAUAAGUAUUUAUUUAUAUACUCUUGUUUACUCGGUAGUAAGAUUCAUACAACAUAAUUAUAUUCCUACUACAUGAGCUCAUUAUAAUAAAUAUGGUAUUCGGCAUUAUAUUGUUACUUAACAUCAUAUAAAAUAAUUAUAGUACAUUAAGUCAUAGCCCCUAAUAUUCGCUGCUAUACAAGGCAUUAAACGUACUACUCAAGUAUUCAUUUUUGCUUAUAUAUUCUAAAUAGGUUAUUGGAUUUUUGCCUCAAAUUAAUUUUUGGUCUGCGUCCUUAUACUUAGAUGAUUCAAAUGAAACAAGUAUUUUAUUAAUAUGUAGGCGUAGGUAUACGGGCGGCUUGGGCAUUUCUUCAUAUUAAAAAGUUGCAGGCUUUUUUUAUGGAAUAGGCUUUAUUAAACAGGGAUACCCCAUAUGAAACAUACCUCCUCAUCGGAAUAUGAAUAAUUUACACAAAAUAUUGUAUCUGUUGGGAAUUAAAAAUAUAUUUAUAAGUAUAGAA